UUAUCUUCGGGGUAGGGUGAGAUUCCCGACCGGCAGUACAGUCUGCGAGCUGAUAAUUUCAGUAUGAUACGGUGUGAUUCCGUAACCGACGGUUAAAGUCCGGAUGAGAGAAGAU
rnacentral:ncRNA from 1 species